rnacentral:lncRNA from 1 species
CAUACAGGAUCAACAUGGAGUUACCACAACAUUACAACAUUUGUUACAAAAAUAACUUACAUCAGAGUGCGGAAGAUUUAUAACUCAACUUACAACAUAUGAUGGAAUAUAAACAACUAAAUUUCCAAAAGGUGUGUAGAGUAGCGGAAGCAUCCUAGGUGAAGCUUCUAAGGUAGGAGAGGUGGAUAAUUCAUGUCGCGCCCACCGACAUGACCUCCAUUAGCAGACUAAGUCAGCACCUGCAACAGGGGUUAUAAAACCCUGAGUACAAAAGUACUCAACAAGACUUACCCGAUGAGAAAAGAGGAGAACUUAGGGAUGCAGGCUUAGGGUAGACAAGGGGUGGCUGAGCAAGGAGCCAAAGUGUUUUGCGUAAAAAGCUUACUAAUAGUGCAUCCUUAUUUUCAAGUUUUACCCACGAAUUCCUCCCUCGCAGAGGCCGAGGAGUUCGAGGAUAGUCUAACUGGUUGUUCCCCACAGACGAAUCCGUGAGUUCCUAGUCCUAUCAUAAAGUAUUAUUUAUCGAUGGCCAUAGCUUCAUGUCGCUAUGAGUCCGGGAAUUGGGAUCCGAACCUCAUAAGACAUUUUCCCCCUUUCUCAUUUUAUCACUUAGUUGCAUAUUUAACUACGAUGAGGGUCGAAGGAAUUGAGUCUCCCAAUCGGGGAGCAACGACGAUUCGAAUCGCUUAGCAAUCCAGCUGGAGUUCCUAACCACCCGACAUAUGUAGAACCAAAUCUUGCAUAUAUCAACCCAAGUCAGGCUCUCCCCAAAUUUGACCAGGUUCGCGGCACCCGAGAGCACAGUACUCCACCAUCCUACAGCCGAUCUAGAUGUUUUCCGGUCAUCUCAGAUCCGUAAGGUGGGUACACACUACUCUCGCCAUCUUUCCACUCCCAGUGCGCGAGUAGCUGUUCGCGUCGAGGGAUCACAAGACUGGGCUUACCGGAGGCAAGUGGCUAGUACUAUAAAUUCUCAACCCAGCAGGCCAUCAACGGACCGGUCCUUAAUCGACACAGUUGGAGACACUACUUUAAGACUCCAUUCUUAAAGCAAGUCCACCGACCGGUCUCAAAUUGAAACAUCAUUGAUCGUAAGUGUCUCCCACAACAACCCUUCAAACUUUCUUGUUUAAAAACCUAUCUAGUAGCAGGGCUAAGCAUUGCUACGCAGUUUUAAAAUAAAACAGGUGUCAAGGGCAGGAUACAGAUAUCAAGGUAGUAAAUGCAGCAAGUAGGUUAACCCAAUUCUCAACUACCUAAUGCAGCAUUUUCAAUUCAUAAGUGAUAAAAGAUUUAAAACAUUCAAGGAGGGGUUAAUGCAUCCGGGGCUUGCCUUGGUUGCAGGGCAGAGAGGGACCCUCGGAGACUUCCCAAGUCUCGGAUCCGACUUCCUCGAACGGAGCACCGACCUCGGGGUUCGGUUCAACGGUCGCUCCUUCGGUCACGGACACUAUACGCAAAAUGAUGAAUGCUCAUGAUAUGCGUAUGACAAAUAUGUAAGAAGGACCAAAUCGAGUACAACUCGCCUUCUUGAUGCAAUACAGAAUUAUCACUAAAUAAAGUUGUUUAACAUCUUAAUGUUUUUACCCAAGAGGUUGCAUCUGUAAAAUAAAAUCUCUUUUAAUUCAUAAUUAACCUGAAUUAACUAAUUAUUAAUCUUAUUUACUUUAAUUAAUUCUUAAUUAAUUACUAAUGACAAUAAUUAAGCAUUAAGGCCAAACAAUAAUUAAAUGCCAAAGGUCAUUAAGGUCAAUGACCUCAGGUCAUCACAUAAUCCCAAAAUCACUCAAACCCUAAUUUUGAGAAUUUAACUAAUCAUUACCUAAUUAUUUUGGAAUUAUUACUAAUUAAGGGUAUAAUAAUAUUUUAUUCAAACUUCAUCCAAGUGCCACCAAAUUUUGUGUGAUGCCAGGGAAUAAUAUUCAGAGGCAUCCCACAAAUUUUGGUGAUUUUUGGACAUAUCACUAAAUUAUUGAAAUUCAUGAUAGUGUUAUUUACUAAAUAAAGGCUACCAUUUUCAUACAUAUAUAUAUUGCUAGAAAAUAAAACCUAGCAUUUUUUUUGUGUUCUACAUACUGCAUAGAACAUAUCCAAAUAUUUUCACUAUUUUCGAAUCUGCACAACUUUUCUAUAUAUAUUCAAACAUAAAUCAAAUUUGCACACAUAACCAGGACAGCAGCAUAUAUGUAACUUCAUUCAACCAUAAUUAGAGAUCCAAGCAUCCAAUAAAGGUGAUAUUAGACUUUCUGAAAAGCUUAGAUAAUUUUAUGCAACUUUGUUAUUAUCUUCGAGAACUGAUUUAAUAGAUAAGAUGGCCAAAUAGCAUGAAGAAACAUUCCUGUCCAGACCUUGGACAGAACCAGACAUUAAGCUUCAUACAUCUAUAACCAGAGUUAUAGAUCACCAAAAUUCAUGAUCCAUAACAUUUUGGAAAGCUUAUGAAAAUUACUACAAUUCAUCUUUUAUUAUGAAAGCAUGAUUCAUAAGUUUAGCAGGUUGAAAUUACACUACUACAGAAACUGAUCCAAGAUUUGACAGAGAACAACCAUUUCUGAAACUUAAAUUUAAACAGGCAUAACUCAGAAACUAUAGAGCCAAAUGCCACCAAAAUUUAACACCAGCUAGAUACAUGAAUUCUAUACAACUUUGUUAUAGACAAGUUUCACAUCCAACAUUAUCUACCUAGAGCAAUUCAUAAGGUUCCAGAAACUGUCCAGAAAUCACUAAUAAUUUAAUUAUAGACAAAUAACAUUUCAUUUAUGUUCCAAACUUGGACCUAGGAAAAACCUAGCUUACCAACAGUUGAAAUACAUCAAAGAAAUACUAGAAAACAUCAUGGCCAUCCCUAAAUAAAUUCCUUUCAUGUCUUUAUUAAUUUAUUUAGGUAAAUAGACAAAGUAAUAACCAUAUAUCAAAAGUACACGGUAAAUUCUGAGAAAACUACAGCAGCUCAUAUAUGCUCUCAAAAGUCUACUGUAUAAAUUUCAUGCCAUUUGAAUAAGUAUAGCAAUUUCCAUGAAAAAGAUAAAUUUCCAUCACAAGGAAGCAUGUAACAACAAGAUAAAUAAGAAACUCGACAUUUUCUACACACACAUAGCUAAAUUAUGUAUCUAUAUGAUAUAACAACCUCAUAUAAAGGUAGAGGAACCAUAUUUUACAUUUAUUCAUUUUUAGUUUAAUUGUAAACUAUUUAAUAAGCACUACACAAGAUAAAUCAAUAACUUAAUCAUAUGUCAUCCAAUGAAUCUAAAAACUUAACCACAGCACACACACAUAAUCAUUAGUCUACCAUAAAAGUUUCAUCUUAAAAGAAGCUAUACAGCAAUAGAUAUGAAUUUCUUCCUUUUAAGCAUAAUUAAAAGACAUAAUUCAUAACUAAUUAUUUUACUAUAAAACAUAGUCAGUUCCAUAUUUUUAAAAAAAACUAGACAUUUCAAGGAGCACAACGAAAUUUGGUUCACCAAAAUUGGAGUUACCAAGCUCCAGAUAUGAAUUUCCAAAGAUUCUAACAAAACAUCUACAAACAAGUCCUUAUAGCACUAUUCACCUGAGUCACAGUCUGUGCAAUUAGACCCCUGGAGAACUUCCAAUUGUUGCGCGUGGUCCCUGGUCGCGAACUGAAAACAGGGGAGCUCGUCGGAGAUCGCAGUUUCGGCGUUGGGGUGCUCGUCCGCAGCAGUGGAGCAGCGGGGGAGUUCACCUGGACUCACGCACACCCUAUGGUUCCCUCUACUUGGCCAGAGGCGGUCUGUGGAGGCAUGGCCACGUGAACAGCGGCACUGGCGGAGCUCCGGACGGGGCUAGGGGAAAACGUGGCGCUCCGGCCACCGGGAAGGCGAGGGGACGAGUUGGGGAGCAUCAGGGGCUCAGCACGACUUCGUCAAGCUGCUCAGAAGUGGUGGAGAAGCACGGAGGAGGGCUGGCCACGUGAAGCGCCCACGGCGGCGCUUUCAGCCGGAGCUGAGGAAGAAAGACGGCGCCCGGGCGAUUGAGAGGGGCAGGGAGGGUUCCUGGGCGUACACUGGGUUCGCAAGGAUAUGGCGAAGGUGUUGGAGAACUCGAAUUGGUCAGAGGGGUUGCGUGUAGAGGGUAAUGGAUGGUGGAGCUUCUCUGAUGCUUUUGGUCGCCGGAGCGAGUGAGCUCGAGGUCGGCCGCGCGGACGCUCAAGGGGGCGAGGCGCAGGGGUCGCGGGCGUCCACGUUGCGCGGUGACACGGCCGGCAAGCAGCUGCGUGGCGGCAAGGCGCGCGCGCGGCGCUGCCCGCUCUGCGGCCGGCGGGACAGAGGAGCCCGUGAUCCGGAUCACUGUAGCGAGCCCUAUCCAACCAAUUUUGUGGUUUUGCGAAAUUCGCCCAAAAGUUGAACUGGAGCCAAAAUUCCACCAAAACAAAAGUUCUUCAGAAUUUUGCAAGCUACAAAACUUAUUUUGGUGACCAAAGCCAAUUCUAAGUGGAACAAGAUGAAUUUGACAAAACAGUUUGAAAUUCAAAUCUCAAUUUGGGGGAAAUUCCAAUUUUUGAAUUGGAGCAGAUCAGAAUUUCCAAAAUUACUUUUGAUUUUGCAUAACAACUUGAAAAAUUUCCAACAAGAAAGUUGUUCAAAUUUUUCAGCUCUACAACUUUCAUGUUGGUCACUUUUCAAAAUUCCAAAUAGAUUUUGAAUUGGGGAUUCAAAUUGGAAAAGGGGACACUUUUUGGAAAUCUGUAUUUUCAAAAUUACUUUGAAUUUUGUAUUGAAACUUCAAAAACUCAAAACACCAAAGUUGUACAUCUUUACAAGAUCUACAACUUUGCUUUUGAACUCAACCUCAAAUUUUGUUUGGUUUUUAAAUUGUGAAAAAGGGGGCAAAUCCAGGGUUUUAAAAUCAGGGUUUUCCCCCCUAUUUUAUCGGAAACCUUCCGCCCUAGGGGUUAUACAACCAACACAAGCAUCACUUCACAACAUAAGUACACUCUACUUCCCUAAGCACAAGCAAUCAAAAUAAACUUGUUUUAAGUUGAUGCAUAAUAAUGUGCUUAACAAAUAUGCUUUGCAAUGCUUAUGAUGACAUGAUCCAGUUUUAGUGUUCGUAACAUCAGGGAUGUUACAGCCCUUCCCCCUUAAAGAAAUCUCGUCCCCGAGAUUUUCAGGGUACUAAAACCCGUGGGGUUAAGUAAUGGAAAAGUAAAUGUGUCAAGCACAUUAACUUCUGAGAAAUUCAUACAACAAUUACGAUUGGUCCGAGAAUUACAACUAAGAUCAACAAGAAGUUGUAAUCAAUCAGGAAUUUUAGAGAUUUCAUAAGAAGAUAUGAAUCUCCAAAUGAGCUUCCGAGGAGAAUGAAAGCACACUAACUGUAGAUUAUAGUGGAGCAUGACCAGAGAUCCCGAUGUUUAACGAGCACCCUGUAGUAUUUCCUUAUGGCUGCAGUCCACAGGAGACUACAAGAUUCGACGCUAUAACGUGAUCACGGAUCAUGGUACCUACUAUAGAGUACGGUUACAAUAGCUUUCAAUCAACGUAUGUUGGUUAUCCAAGUCAAGGGUUUUAGGUAAUUCCCACAAAGAUAUGGGCAUGAGUUCCCAUGAUAGGGCUCAAAGAGCGAGGGCACCUUAGUUGUGGGGCUAUAAUGGAUCAUGCCCAUAACCUCGAUACCUGCACGCGCCCAGCAGAAAUUUGUGUCAUCCGGACACACAAAAGACUCUAGGUUCCGACGCGGUACCGGGGUCACGGGACAUGGCACCAUUAUAGGGCACCACAACAAUAACCCAUGUCUCACAAUACCAAGAAUGUAACUGAGAUCAAAAGUCGAUCACAACCACAAGGCGUUUAGGGAACUCAAAAGGACAAAUUUGAAUCCCUAAGGAGUGUCCAAAGAAUGAAACACCCUAAUUGUGGACUAUAAGGGAUCAUGAUCAUAUACUUUGAUAACAAUGAGCGCCCAGCAGUAUUUCCUCAUGGUCAUGAGCCAUAGGAGACCCCAGGUUUCGACAUUGUUACCCAAGUUACAAGUCAUGGUACCUUAAGAGGACACAAUCAUAGUGUCAUUCAAUCAACACAUAUGUCAUCAAAUGACAGCAAGGAGGUAGCAUGUGUCAAGUUAGAUGAAAUCAAGGAAGGUCACAUGCAUAACAAGAGAAUCAAGUAUUAGGAUCUUAUGGAGUAAAAGAUUAUCAAUCGGUUAACGAAAGCUGGUACAUGAUGAGAUUCAUCAAUAAAACAGCUAUAAUGAAUAAUAACUGUUUUUGAAGCAUAAGGAGGGGCUUUUAAGUAUCAUUAUAUUGUCAUGUUAUGCAUGAUAUGCAAUAUGCUCGUCCUAUACAUUUUCUCAACGGCGAAAGUGCUCCAUCUUCAUCAUGUUAGUAGAUUAUAGGGCUUUAUUUAUACAGUAUCUUCAUCACUCUGGAUGGAAUGUUGCAAGACUCUUGACAAAGCAUUGUUGGAGUAGUUUGAUUCUUCACUUGGCUUGUUGAAGAAGAAUUGAAGUCCCUUUUAAUGCCUUCUAUUUGAAUCAGCAGACAGUCUUCACAGAACUUGAAUAGCAAGCAUAAGAAAAGUUAAGGAGCAUUUACAAGUUGUUGUCCUCAAAAACUUUUAAUUUGUAAAUUCCUUUUGAAGUUUUUCACAAGUAAUGUUGCAGAAGAUCCAUGUAUGAGCUCUGAUACCACUCUGUGGCAGAACCUCCUGAAUUAAGUGGCCCACAUGCACCCAUCAUUGUCUCCAAGACUUGUGAUCGGCAUGCACGAGUUCCAAAUGACUCAAGAAGUCUGUCGGGUGCCCUCGGAGGACCCCGAAUCAUCCACAUUUUAUUUCAUACAGGAUCAACAUGGAGUUACCACAACAUUACAACAUUUGUUACAAAAAUAACUUACAUCAGAGUGCGGAAGAUUUAUAACUCAACUUACAACAUAUGAUGGAAUAUAAACAACUAAAUUUCCAAAAGGUGUGUAGAGUAGCGGAAGCAUCCUAGGUGAAGCUUCUAAGGUAGGAGAGGUGGAUAAUUCAUGUCGCGCCCACCGACAUGACCUCCAUUAGCAGACUAAGUCAGCACCUGCAACAGGGGUUAUAAAACCCUGAGUACAAAAGUACUCAACAAGACUUACCCGAUGAGAAAAGAGGAGAACUUAGGGAUGCAGGCUUAGGGUAGACAAGGGGUGGCUGAGCAAGGAGCCAAAGUGUUUUGCGUAAAAAGCUUACUAAUAGUGCAUCCUUAUUUUCAAGUUUUACCCACGAAUUCCUCCCUCGCAGAGGCCGAGGAGUUCG